rnacentral:rRNA from 1 species
GAACGCCGGCGGCGUGCUUAACACAUGCAAGUCGAACGGAAAGGCCCUGCUUUUGUGGGGUGCUCGAGUGGCGAACGGGUGAGUAACACGUGAGUAACCUGCCCUUGACUUUGGGAUAACUUCAGGAAACUGGGGCUAAUACCGGAUAGGAGCUCCUGCUGCAUGGUGGGGGUUGGAAAGUUUCGGCGGUUGGGGAUGGACUCGCGGCUUAUCAGCUUGUUGGUGGGGUAGUGGCUUACCAAGGCUUUGACGGGUAGCCGGCCUGAGAGGGUGACCGGCCACAUUGGGACUGAGAUACGGCCCAGACUCCUACGGGAGGCAGCAGUGGGGAAUAUUGCACAAUGGGCGGAAGCCUGAUGCAGCAACGCCGCGUGCGGGAUGACGGCCUUCGGGUUGUAAACCGCUUUCGCCUGUGACGAAGCGUGAGUGACGGUAAUGGGUAAAGAAGCACCGGCUAACUACGUG